AGGACGAACGCUGGCGGCGUGCUUCACACAUGCAAGUCGAACGGGGCUCAUUCGGUGGUAACACCGGAGAAGGCCUAGUGGCGAACGGGUGCGUAACACGUGAAGAACCUGCCCCGAAGACUGGGAUAACAGCGGGAAACCGCUGCUAAUACCGGAUGACCCCACCAGGCCGCAUGGCCAGGUGAGGAAAUGGGCCUACCGCUUCGGGAGGGCUUCGCGGCCUAUCAGCUUGUUGGUGGGGUAACGGCCUACCAAGGCUACGACGGGUAGCUGGUCUGAGAGGACGACCAGCCACACUGGGACUGAGACACGGCCCAGACUCCUACGGGAGGCAGCAGUGGGGGAAUAUUGCGCAAUGGGCGAAAGCCUGACGCAGCGACGCCGCGUGAGGGAUGAAGGCCUUCGGGUUGUAAACCUCUUUCAGCAGGGACGAAGCGAAAGUGACGGUACCUGCAGAAGAAGCACCGGCUAACUACGUGCCAGCAGCCGC
rnacentral:rRNA from 1 species